AUUUUGAACUUGCUGAGAUUUUUUUUUUUGUUUUUUUCGAGAGGUAGAUAGCACGCUAUUCGCUUCAUUUAUUUUAUUUAUAAAUAAAUUUAGCUGAAAAUGUGAAUCAAUUAGGAUUCGAACUUGGGUCUCAGAUACCAACCACCAAGUCUUUUGCCACUUGUUUUAGGGACGGUCCGUAACUUGCGAGAUUAUUAUAAGUUGUUUCACACGGUAAAGACUGAGUUUGGUUUAACCUCUCUUUUCUUUUUUUUUUCUUUUUUUUUUUAUGCGGCACAAUCUCUUUUGAUUCAGUUCAAUCAAUUUCGUUCCUUUCUUUUGAUUCAGUCCUAUGUCGCCAUGCAUGUGGCGACUAGUAGGGCCUAAUUAACAUGUGUAGUCGAGGGACAUGCAAAGAAUAUUGGUUGGGUUCGAUCCCUUAACAGCAUUGUACAAUACUAUUUGAAUAAUUUUUGUUGAGAGAUAGAUAACACGCUACCCGUUUUGUUUAUUUUAUUUAGAAAUAAAUUUAACUGAAAAUGUGAAUCAACUAGGAUUCGAACUUUGGACCUCGGAUACCAACCACCAAAUCCUUUGCCACUUGCUCUAAAGACAGUCGGUUACUAUUUGAAUAUUUUAAUGACUUAAUUACAUUUUACUACACUAUACUUUAGUGUUA
rnacentral:lncRNA from 1 species